UAAACUGUAGCUAAAUUAAAAGCGCUUCACUUACGUUGGAGAGAUCACAUGAUAUUGUGCUGUUUAA
rnacentral:tRNA from 1 species